ACACAUGCAAGUCGAACGGAAAGGCCCUGCUUGCAGGGUACUCGAGUGGCGAACGGGUGAGUAACACGUGGGUGAUCUGCCCUGCACUUCGGGAUAAGCUUGGGAAACUGGGUCUAAUACCGAAUAGGACCGCACUUUAGUGUGUGUGGUGGAAAGUUUUUUCGGUGUAGGAUGAGCUCGCGGCCUAUCAGCUUGUUGGUGGGGUAAUGGCCUACCAAGGCGGCGACGGGUAGCCGGCCUGAGAGGGUGUACGGCCACAUUGGGACUGAGAUACGGCCCAGACUCCUACGGGAGGCAGCAGUGGGGAAUAUUGCACAAUGGGCGCAAGCCUGAUGCAGCGACGCCGCGUGGGGGAUGAAGGCCUUCGGGUUGUAAACUCCUUUCGCUAGGGACGAAGCUUUUUGUGACGGUACCUAGAUAAGAAGCACCGGCUAACUACGUGCCAGCAGCCGCGGUAAUACGUAGGGUGCGAGCGUUGUCCGGAAUUACUGGGCGUAAAGGGCUCGUAGGUGGUUUGUCGCGUCGUCUGUGAAAUUCUGGGGCUUAACUCCGGGCGUGCAGGCGAUACGGGCAUAACUUGAGUGCUGUAGGGGUAACUGGAAUUCCUGGUGUAGCGGUGAAAUGCGCAGAUAUCAGGAGGAACACCGAUGGCGAAGGCAGGUUACUGGGCAGUUACUGACGCUGAGGAGCGAAAGCAUGG
rnacentral:rRNA from 1 species